GAUGAACGCUGGCGGCGUGCCUAAUACAUGCAAGUCGAGCUAACGGACGAGAAGCUUGCUUCUCUGAUGUUAGCGGCGGACGGGUGAGUAACACGUGGAUAACCUACCUAUAAGACUGGGAUAACUUCGGGAAACCGGAGCUAAUACCGGAUAAUAUUUUGAACCGCAUGGUUCAAAAGUGAAAGACGGUCUUGCUGUCACUUAUAGAUGGAUCCGCGCUGCAUUAGCUAGUUGGUAAGGUAACGGCUUACCAAGGCAACGAUGCAUAGCCGACCUGAGAGGGUGAUCGGCCACACUGGAACUGAGACACGGUACAGACUCCUACGGGAGGCAGCAGUAGGGAAUCUUCCGCAAUGGGCGAAAGCAUGACGGAGCAACGCCGCGUGAGUGAUGAAGGUAUUCGGAUCGUAAAACUCUGUUAUUAGGGAAGAACAUAUGUGUAAGUAACUGUGCACAUCUUGACGGUACCUAAUCAGAAAGCCACGGCUAACUACGUG
rnacentral:rRNA from 1 species